GGGGAUAUAGCUCAGUUGGUAGAGUGCUUGCCUCUCAUGCACAAAGCCCUGGAUUCAAUCUCCAGCACCUCA
rnacentral:tRNA from 1 species